UAAAUAAGGAUUAUAUUUUCAGAUCCUGGUAACAUAUCAUAUCCAGAUAUUUUAAUAUCUAAUGAUAAUGCUUUCAUAAUAUGAGGAUCUUUUACUGAGAUUGUAAAGUUGGGAUAACACGAAAAAUAAAUCGAGCCAUCACAAAGAGAUGAUUCAACAAUUCCUAAUAAGGAAUCAUUAAAAUUGUUGUGUCUUUUAUCUCUAACACAUAUUAAGGCUGAGGUAUUUAAUCCUAACCUGGUUGCUGGUUUUAGAGCAACUUGGAUCAUUCCUAUGUGUAGGAAAGAGUAUUCCUUCUGAUGUCUUUUCAGAAGUUCUUCAGAAAACAGACUCUUAGAGCUUAAUCCUUCAUGGAUAGGAGUGGCUUGCUCAACAGUUUUUAUUACAUAAUCAGACCUAAAUCUAAAACUAUUACUAGACUUAUAUAUAAGAUUAGACGAAAUAGGAGGCAGCUUCCAAUUAUUUAAAUUAUUUUCUAUAUUAGCUAAUAACAGUAUUUCUUUGUUUUUUGAUUUUUUAUUUUCCUUGUCUUCAAAUCUAACGCUUCUAGAGCUACCAGAUAAGCUAGAAAAUAGUUUGUCCAUAGGUUCUAGAUCACUGUCAACGAUGUUACUCCUGAUGCCUAAAACGCCUUUCUCACGGCUUUAGCGGCUAAAGGAUACGCGACUUGGGGUUUCACUAGAACUAUUGAUCAAACUAUUACCUAACUAGGCUCUGAUACCAAUUGAGACGCCGAGACUUUUCGACGCUAGGACCGAGUAGGAUUAAGUAGUACGUGGCGUUGUGGCUAGAGUUUGCUCUACCUUCCACCAAUGAAGGGCUCAAGCGGUUACUAGUUUCCAGCCAAUAUACUACUUUGACUUAGACAUGAUGAAAAAAGGGUUUUAUUUAAACCAAUAGAAAUCGAGAAGUUAAGCCUAAAAUUGGCAAAAGAAGAUCAUUCAGAAAUGAUUGAAGAGUUAACUAAAAGAUUAAUAGAACUAGGUCUAGAUUCAAAAAAAAAAUCAAUAUCUCAUUUAACUAAGGAUUUAACUUUAAAAGAGGAAUUAGAAAAUAGAUUAAAUAAUCUGAAUCUUGCUCCUUUAGAUAAAAAAUCAGAAAGCUCAGAAUCUGACUCAUCUAAUGAAGAUGAAUUAGACAAUAUUGAAAAAAUGUUAAAAUAAUCUGAACCUUUAAAAGUAAACAGGGUAAUUUAUCCAAAACCCAGAGCAACUAUAGAAAUGAAGCCUUAUUAUCCUAGGCCGUCUCUAAUAAAUCUAUAAUAUGAAGAUACAAAUUAUAAUUAUGUACAAUACGAUAGAACUUCAAUUGUAGAAUGGAACAUAGAUGGACUUUCUGAUUAUCAAAUCAAGAAUGUCAUCCAGUUCAUGACUAUGUAUGCUAUAGCUGCAAAAGUCAAAGGAAACAAUACUGACCAAGCAAUAGCCAAAGCUAUUAUCGCUGGUUUUACUGGCAAACUAAGAGGUUGGUGGGACUUUUCCUUAUCAGAAGAAGGAAAAGCACAGGUUCUUAAUGCAGUUAAAACAGAACCAAGAGCUGAAGGUCCAGUAGUAGUGUCAGACAGCGUUAAUACGUUAUUAUACACUAUUGGAAUGCAUUUUAUAGGGUCCGCAAGUUUGUAUAUGGAUAGGUCUCAGGAACAGUUAAUGAACUUAAGAUGUCCUGAUCUGUCUCAUUUUAAAUGGUAUAAAGAUACCUUCUUUUCCCUUAUGUUUACCAGGGAAGAUAACCAAUUU
rnacentral:misc_RNA from 1 species